GACGAACGCUGGCGGCGUGCCUAAUACAUGCAAGUCGAGCGAGUCUGCCUUGAAGAUCGGAGUGCUUGCACUCUGUGAAACAAGAUACAGGCUAGCGGCGGACGGGUGAGUAACACGUGGGUAACCUGCCCAAGAGAUCGGGAUAACACCUGGAAACAGAUGCUAAUACCGGAUAACAACAGAUGAUGCCUAUCAACUGUUUAAAAGAUGGUUCUGCUAUCACUCUUGGAUGGACCUGCGGUGCAUUAGCUAGUUGGUAGGGUAACGGCCUACCAAGGCGAUGAUGCAUAGCCGAGUUGAGAGACUGAUCGGCCACAUUGGGGCUGAGACACGGCCCAAACUCCUACGGGAGGCAGCAGUAGGGAAUCUUCCACAAUGGACGCAAGUCUGAUGGAGCAACGCCGCGUGAGUGAAGAAGGGUUUCGGCUCGUAAAGCUCUGUUGUUGGUGAAGAAGGACAGGGGUAGUAACUGACCUUUGUUUGACGGUAAUCAAUUAGAAAGUCACGGCUAACUAAGUG
rnacentral:rRNA from 1 species